GAGUUGUGUGUUACCUCUUAUGAUAGUGAAGAAAAUGGGGCUGCCCUUGUUGUUGCUCUCGGUUAUGUGCCACUCUUUACUCUCUAUCUUGCUGAAAAUUUGAUGGUAUGCAGAAGGAAGUUGAAUGUGUUGUGGAGGGGAUUUUAUAGAUUGGUUGUGGUGUACUCGUGAGCCUUAAAUGGCUGUUGUAUCACUUGUUGUUAUGCUGCAGAAUAUCUCACUUUUAGUGAUCUCCUUGUCUCUCCUUCAUGGCUGCAAAACUUGUAUUUUUAUGGGUACCUAGUACUAGUUAUUAAUUGGGGUUGUUUGAUUUGUAGAGAGGCAGGGGAUGUGGUGCCAAGGGCUGCAUUAUGAAGGGUGUGCAGGCUGGAAUCCCCCUUUUUUUGGCAAGUUCUUGGUCUUCAAGGAAAAAGAAGGGUGAGAGUGAAAUCUCGGCUACUACCUGGCUGCACCGCGAGCGGGCCUGGGUUCGUGGCCUGGGCCGACGGGUCUGCUCGAAACGGGCCCUAAUUUGGGCCUGGAGGAAGGGCCCGAAGUGCACCCCAAAGUCUAUUUUCCUUUCCUUGUUUUCUUUCAUUGAGGACUUUGAUCCAUGUAAUCUAUUUUAUUAGUUGUUCAUUUUAUUG